UACGGAGGGAGCUAGCGUUGUUCGGAAUUACUGGGCGUAAAGCGCGCGUAGGCGGCUUUGUAAGUUAGAGGUGAAAGCCCGGGGCUCAACCCCGGAAUAGCCUUUAAGACUGCAUCGCUAGAAUCCGGGGAGAGGAGAGUGGAAUUCCCGGUGUAGCGGUGAAAUGCGCAGAUAUCGGGAAGAACACCCGUGGCGAAGGCGGCUCUCUGGGACGGUAC
rnacentral:rRNA from 1 species